UACGUAGGGUGCAAGCGUUAAUCGGAAUUACUGGGCGUAAAGCGUGCGCAGGCGGUUGUGCAAGUCAGAUGUGAAAUCCCCGGGCUUAACCUGGGAACUGCAUUUGUGACUGCACGGCUAGAGUGUGUCAGAGGGGGGUAGAAUUCCACGUGUAGCAGUGAAAUGCGUAGAUAUGUGGAGGAAUACCGAUGGCGAAGGCAGCCCCCUGGGAUAACACUGACGCUCAUGCACGAAAGCGUGGGGAGCAAACAGG
rnacentral:rRNA from 1 species